UGGAGUACCAGGAUGAAAGGAGGGAACUUGCCCUGCGUAUCUCUAUGGCGAUGUGUGCAGAGCUGAAGCGUCUUGGUUCGAUGACAGGAGCUCAAUGGCACGAAUGGUACAGAAACACCAGCCCAUCCAAAGACAUGACGCCAGGGGAGGAUUUCGGUGAGUCCCUCAGCUGGACUGGACUACAGCAGGUGGUGGUGGAUGGAGAGCAGAGCCGUGAGAAGUCUGCGGAAGCGGCUCCCAUUAUCCAGCAGCCCCU